UUUGUUCAUUGUUCUCAUUCAUCGUUUACAGCUCAGGCUCUGUAGUGAGCAGCAAGCACUACAGUUCUUUUGUGAUUCAUUGGAUCUUUAGUUCAAUCAUUUGUCACGUGACAACUGUUGGGGGACCUCAUGUGUAUCAUCUGUUAUUAACAGAAUUAUUAUUAAAGUUCCACAUGCUCAAACAAAGAAGGUUUUGCCGCCUGUAUGUAUUAUCCUUCUGAUAGGAGUGAGUGGAAACAAAGAUUUUAAAUCUGAGUGCCAAAACCAGGCGCCAGGCUGGGGAACCAUACCUGGCACCGCGCUGAGACGUCCGAACUUCCCCGCUGAUACAAACGACAAACGGAGGAGGAACUUGGACGUCAGCCAUCCUGUUUGGACCAAACCAAAUACCAACCAAAUAGGACGGGCGUGACCCAAAACAUGGUUAUUAAAGCUGCCGUGACCAAAGACUCAUCCCUUGUUCUCUCCGACCCUCGUCCUCUCGCCUUCAAGUCCACUGCAGACCUUUCUUCUUUCCAUCCACCUGGAGUCUCCCUCUGCCCGGCACGCCUGAAGCCUCCACCGCAGCCAGCAGCUGAACCAACGUGGACAUCGUCACGGAGAACGGGCCUGAUCACCCAUCUACUUCUAGCCACCUGGCAGAAAACCGCCAGCUUGACCGCCUCACCCGCUGCUGUCUCAGGGAGGCACAUCCCAGUUGCCCACAUGCAAGGAGGCUGUCAAACAGAGAAAUCACUGCAGACUGUUGGUACACGGACAUCUGUUGCCCAGCUCAGGAGUAAAGUACCUUUUUGUUUUGAUGAGGUGAUGGUGAGGACAGCCACAGCUUCCAUCUUGUAGAGGACUGCUUCUGCUCAGUCUUCCAAAUAGUGAUGAGAACAAGGAUCACCACAUCUCCGUUUUCCCUACUUUCAUGCAUUUCGUCUGCAAGGCCCUGCAAAAGCUUCUGUCCUCAAACCCCCAGACUUCUUAAUUAACUCAGUAACCUAUACAUUGCACAUUGGAGUGUGAAGGUAACAGUUUGUUCUAGCUUUGAAGUAGUGGUGCAUUUUUUUGGUUGACAAUAAAGUUGGCUUUAACUAUUACGUAUUUCACUGAACUCUGUUUCUGAAGGGAAAACACUUUUAUUCAGGAAAUUGAAAUUACAUGUUUUUCUCUUUCUAAUAUGGUAAGCUAUAAAGUUGAAGUGGCCAUAAAUAAAAAGCAUAUAAAUUAUAUAUAAAUUAAAAAAAAUCUUAAUGAGUAUUGCACUCACAAAAAAACACAUGUUUACUCAAAUAGUAAAGGAGUUAUUUCACAAGUGGUCUACAUCCAUCAUACAAUGAGUGUUUUAGUGUUUUAUGCAUCAGGAAACUGCCUUCAUCUACAACCCAAGCAUGGGUUGUAUGUGAAGUGAUGGCAACUCCGAUUCUUCACCCCAGGAAUCCUCAGCAGCCUCUGUAGACUAGAUACCUGUAACAACUUCAGAUAGAAAGACAUAUUACUGUCAGAUUUAUCAAGAUUGAUCAAAAAAUAUAAUUAAAAGCAGUAAAAAUACAUCUGGUCAAUAUAUAUGCAUGCAGUGAUUGCUCUGAAUAUUAAUGUACAUUUUAAAAAUAAAAUUAUUUCAGAGCAGCAGCACAAGUAAGACUAAAACUGUGUAAAAUGUAUUUAUAUUAUUUCAGCUAUGCUCUCAAACUUUUAUUUAUUUGUAUAAUGUAAGCUAAAGUAGUGUUUUCUAUUAACGAGAGUUUUCCAGGUAAGUCGUGUUGUGAAUAUUCAAGCUGCAAAGGCCAUUUAGCAUACGCAUUAGCAACUGCUAGCCGCUUUGCAAAUUACAUAAAUCAAAUAAAUUGAAGUAAAUGCGACAUUACCAAUGAGACGAAUCUUGCAUCAGCCGAAAUGUGGUGACUUCAACAGCCUCCUCUUCAGCUUCAGGGUCAGAUUCGGGAUCGUAGACGUAUGGUUCUACUACGCUACGAACCAGCUGGCUAAUGUCGUGCAGUCCUGUAGCGGGUCUUCUUCUGCUGUGGAGGAUUGCGGUGGAAUGCAUUCUCAAUGUCGCACUACUGUCAACUACUGUAUAGUAUCCUAACCGUGCGGUGGCUCGUAUCCAUGAAGCCGAUUUAAAAAAAAAAAAAAAAAAAAACAACAAAAAAGGUAUGCGCUUCCGCACAGAGGUGUGGUGAGCAGCUUCGCUUGCGACACGCCCAGAAAACACAGCGUUUGCUGAUGGGGAGUGAAAACCACACAUUGACAGGGGCAGUGUGGACGAUCUAAAGGGUUUUAUGGGAUGGAAAUUUACAGAGACCUUACUGACACAUUGAAGUCCAAUAUCGUUUAGAGUGAAAAGCUGUAUGAUCAGGGAGCUUUAAGACCCAUUACUGUAUCUUAAACAUGGUGAUAGUUACAUCAUGAACAUGACAAAGUGCACAAUUUUAUAGCUGUAAAGAUUUUUUUACCCAUAACAAUAAAACAAAUGUGUAUGUGGACCCAGACAUACCUCUACUUAUUUUGUAUUGCAAUCCCAGCUGACAUUGAACAAAAGGCAGAGUACUUACAAGGCAAGUUGACGUUCUAUCACAAGGCGGACAGCAAUAUUUUAAGUUUAAUCUUCAGAGUAUGGAUAGAACCUGCUCAGUCCACACAGAAAGGUCCCUGGGGAUUUUCUAGCUGUGAGGUGGCAGCUCUAACUUUUGUAAAGUCUUUGACUGGUUAGAGUGAAAAUUAAUUCUGCUUGAUUAGUGCAUUUUGGUGCAUUCUCGUGUAUUGUCAUUAUAAUAUGAACCCGAAGUGCAGAGCACAGAUUACAGCCGCUACGGUGUUCAGACCUGCCUGUCUGCCACCACAAAAAUCACUCUUCUAUCUUAGCUUUCUUCAGGAGUUUUAGCAGUAAAACUCAUACUGUACUGUAAAAGUCCCCUGGCUGUUGCUUUGCUACAGUUGAUGUUUCAGUUUUUUUAUUCUUAUGGAGAUAAAAAUUAAUGACAUUUUCCUAAUAUGACUCACUCAUGGAAAGAGGAACUGAUUAUGAAGUGGAACAAAGGCCAUCCUCCUUGUGGCAGGAAUGAUCACGUACGCUUCUCAUGUCAAGUACAUAGCUCAAGGGAGGAUGAGCUAAAGAGACAAAGACUAAUAAUUAUAAAACCCCUGUCUGUUAACUUCAGUAUUCUGGACAAACAUGCUCGGUGUACUGCUGUUCCACUGUCGUCACUUGUGCUUGUCCAAAAAAAGCAGCACAGAAACUAUAUAUCUGUGAUUCUCUUGCUGCCUGUUAUUGUAUUAAUUUGGCUGCUGCCAGUUAUUUGGUGUGUGUAAUGGUCCCCAGUCAGCUGUCUCACAGUCAAUAGAUUCUCUGCUUUCUGUAAUUUGUUAGUCCUCAUUACUAGCUGUACCGAUAAAUUAGACAUACUUUCAGAGAAAAAGCCCACACCUGGUAAAUAAUACUCUGGACCCAUACGCAAGAGAGAGACAAAGUAUCUACAGAAGGAAUAUAUGAGAAUCGAUCGACCCUCGUGGCCAUGUCUGAUCUUGACAAUAGCAUGCUAUUGAUGUGCUGGAAUUGCUUUUGAAGGCGAACAGAUUGAUAUAAUGGUGGGGUGUUGGCCCUUAAGGGCUGGGCUGCCAGGGCUGAACUCUGAUUGACUGACCUUGGGUCAAUACAGCCAUUUGCAUCAGUCCUCUUUGGUGUUUGUGUUGAGGCCAUUGGACUGGCAGGAGUCCUGUAACAGGGCUUGGAGUUCUUCUCUAAACCAGGUGCCUAAAAUCACUUUCAAGGUUGAGUUUUACUUCUAAUGCCAUUGAUUUUAUGUCUACUGUAGCCACAGGCUGUAUAGAAAAUGCCACUAUUUACUGGCACUAUACAGAAAUAAAGCCACUAUAUUGCAAACUCAGAAGGUGAAAUUGAAGCAGACAGAGUCUGCAAAGUACUGUAUAUUCUGAGGGCUGCAAAUAAGAGAUACCUCUGGCAUUUGUAUGAAAUGAGAGGGGUGUGAUGAGUGAAAAUUCAAUGAAUGUUUAAAACAAAGCUUCAAAGUACAGAAAUUGGUAUUGGGGACAGCCCUAGAGUUUGUACAACCCGUACCCGUAAAUAUCGUCCGUAGGUGUUCAACUGGUGUAAGGCUAGGGAUAAGUGGGCUGGUAGCUCAGUAUGUAGAUCCUUCUCAGACCGAUGCUCUACCAUCCCACUUAGCCCUAUGGUCCCUGAUUCCAUCCCUGCCUUUGGCACUAGUUCCGUCCUUCAGCAAGACACCUGGCUAAGUCAUUUAUUUUAUAGGCAUUUGUCAACAAAACUGAACAUUCAAGAUGAAAACUGUCUGUGAGUAUAAGAGACAAAACAGACACAGCCUUUGUGCUUAGGUCAAGUGCAGAGUGACAACUGGUGUGCUCUUAGUAACAUCUGCUGUUUGUUGUCGUGCUUCUUGUGCUGUUUUCUGACAGUAUAUGUGUACUUUCUUUAAAGAAGUAAGAAAAAGAAAAAUCACACCACAAGAACUAAUAUCUCUAGUGAAAAACACUCAUAGUAGGUGGUCCAGGUUCUUUUUCUCUCUGUGAACAGACAGGAUGAAAGCUCUGACGUUAUAUGCCAGCCUAACCAGAACAGCACUCUGAGGAUUGUCUCCAGCUUUGGGCACAUUACUCUGUCUCAGCUUGUGUUUAACUUUAUUUAUCUCUCUUUGAUGUCACAUCCACUCCUCUCUCAUCUA